rnacentral:rRNA from 1 species
AGAGUUUGAUCAUGGCUCAGAAUCAACGCUGGCGGCGCGCUUAACACAUGCAAGUCGAACGAGAAAGUGGAGCAAUCCAUGAGUACAGUGGCGUACGGGUGAGUAACACGUGGGUAAUCUACCUUUUAGUGUGGAAUAACCCUGGGAAACCAGGGCUAAUACCGCAUAAGUCCGAGAGGAGAAAGUCGCAAGACGCUGAAAGAGGAGCCCGCGGCCGAUUAGCUAGUUGGUGAGGUAAAAGCCCACCAAGGCAGAGAUCGGUAGCCGGCCUGAGAGGGCACACGGCCACACUGGCACUGAAACACGGGCCAGACUCCUACGGGAGGCAGCAGUGGGGAAUCUUGCACAAUGGGGGAAACCCUGAUGCAGCGACGCCGCGUGAGCGAUGAAGCCCUUCGGGGUGUAAAGCUCUUUCGGCAGGGAAGAUGAUGACGGUACCUGCAGAAGCAGCUGCGGCUAACUACGUGCCAGCAGCCGCGGUAAUACGUAGGCAGCGAGCGUUGUUCGGAGUUACUGGGCGUAAAGGGUGUGUAGGCGGUUUCUUAAGUUUGGUGUGAAAUCUCCCGGCUUAACCGGGAGGGUGCGCCGAAUACUGAGGGACUAGAGUGCGGGAGAGGAAAGUGGAAUUCCUGGUGUAGCGGUGAAAUGCGUAGAUAUCAGGAGGAACACCGGUGGUGUAGACGGCUUUCUGGACCGUAACUGACGCUGAAACACGAAAGCGUGGGUAGCAAACAGGAUUAGAUACCCUGGUAGUCCACGCCCUAAACGAUGCAUAUUUGGUGUGGGUCAUUCAGUUGAUCCGUGCCGGAGCUAACGCGUUAAAUAUGCCGCCUGGGGGAGUACAGUCGCAAGGCUGAAACUCAAAGGAAUUGACGGGGCCCGCACAAGCGGUGGAGCAUGU